CUUUUCUUCAGCCCUCCGCAGUAAUUCCUUAGGUUGCCAUGUUGCUGGAGUGCUCAGAUCAACAGGAGCAGAACCUCCCACUACCCUGCGUUCUGCUCCUGUGCCCCAGCCCAAAACCCUCUGCCCGCUGUGGUUUUAGUGUCCAAGGUGAGAGCUGGAGGUGAAAUGUAUGCUCGUGACAGGAGGUUCACUGCCACCCUCAGCACUCUCCUUGGGACAUCCUGCUCUUUUCCUGAGUGUGUGGGAAGCAACAACAAGUCUUUUCUAUGUGAAGGCAGGAGCUGCUAAAUUCUCCAGCCUCUGCAAUGAGAUUACUGUUCCAAAGACAGCAAUAACCUCCUCCCCUGAACAGAACCUGGAAUUUUGUAUGCAGAGCUUUCCUGUUGUGGCCAUCUGAUGUUACAGUUACCAGCAGUCACUUGGGAGCCCUACAGUGGGACCAAUCACUGGCACAUGGAGCUGUUCACAAUAGGAGGGCGAUGGAGACUGAAAGAAAAAUAUUGCUUCCACCCAACGUCACUGUACAAGUCCUUUGUUUCAAGUCAAAAUUCGCUUUAGACACAAGACAGAACCAUGUAAGAUACGGCAAAGAGCAGGAAAAUACAGGGAGUAUCUGAGGAAAAAAAAAAAAGCCAUAGAGUAUAAGCAGUAGAGCCAAGGGAGGAGGUUAUAUAUAGGUUGAAGUGUCGCAGGUGUAUGUCAUAGGGUCAUACUAGGGGUAUGUCACUAUGAACCAUUCUACCUCUCUGACUAAAGACAAAAACAAUGACACUUCUACUACUAACAUAAAAUUCCUCCUGAUUUGUGUCAGCCCUGAGUUUUCCAUAAUUUGGUAGUAGUAACACAACUUAAUUGGACGUAACUUGAUCAAAACUGAAAGAAGUGUACGAUGGAUGAGGAGCCUCUAAAACAGCUGUUCCAGAUUUGACUACCUGCCAGGCUAGAAGCUACAUUAAUAACAAUUUACAUCCUACUUUUACAUUUUAAAUCCACUUUUACAUUCUAAACACUAUAAAUCCGCUCACUUGGAUGCCUUACCUGUGCUACCUGGUCUAGGGAGCCUGUUUUGGCAGAAGGGUUGCACUAGAUGAUCUUUAGAGGUCCCUUCCAGC
ensembl:lncRNA